AAUUUUGGACAAUGGGGGAAACCCUGAUCCAGCCAUCCCGCGUGUAUGAUGAAGGCCUUCGGGUUGUAAAGUACUUUUGGCAGAGAAGAAAAGGUACCUCCUAAUACGAGGUACUGCUGACGGUAUCUGCAGAAUAAGCACCGACUAACUACGUGCCAGCAGCGGCGGUAAUACGUAGGGUGCAAUCGUUAAUCGGAAUUGCGGGGCGUAAAGCGGGUGUAGGGGGUUCGGAAAGAAAGAUGUGAAAUCCCAGGGCGCAACCUUGGAACUGCAUUUUUAACUGCCGAGCUAGAGUAUGUCAGAGGGGGGUAGAAUUCCACGUGUGGCAGUGAAAUGCGUAGAUAUGUGGAGGAAUACCGAUGGCGAAGGCAGCCCCCUGGGAUAAUACUGACGCUCAGACACGAAAGCGUGGGGAGCAAACA
rnacentral:rRNA from 1 species